rnacentral:rRNA from 1 species
GUUAUAGGGUCAAGCGAACAAGUGCAUGUGGUGGAUGCCUUGGCGAUCACAGGCGAUGAAGGACGCGGUAGCCUGCGAAAAGCUACGGGGAGCUGGCAAACGAGCUUUGAUCCGUAGAUG